rnacentral:lncRNA from 1 species
UCAGAGCCAUGCGCACCACAGAAUGGCACUUCCCCCUUAACACCGUUGUUGCUGCUGCUGCUGCCCCCGCCGCCACCACCAUUCAGCAGCGCUGUAGCCCUGUGUGCCUUGGGGGCCCACGCUACUAUUGUGCUCCUAGUGAUCUGUGCUCCUCAGGCUGUGGGCUGCACACCAGUUCCCCCUCCACCCAAGUGCACUCCUGGUGCCUCAACUGCACAUGUGUGUGUCUGCCUGUCCCUCACUCCACAGACUAGCCAUUCCCCAGGCUUGCCUGCCUGCUUAGUUCCUGUCACAGGCCUGAACCCAGUGGGACAAACUCAUUUUCUGUCCCCACGAUCUCAAGCCACUACUGCCAGCUCUCUUACUCUGGUCCACGCCAACUCUAAGCCAUGUGUUUUUCUACUAAUACAAAAUGUGUUUUUCUCUACUUACACAACCUGUCAAAGUUACUUACGAUUUUUAUUCCUAUCCUAUCUUGAUAAAUAAUGAUUUUUGCUACUGCCAUUAAAUCAUGGUACACUCUAUUCAGAUAUAACCAAUCGAUACAGCCCUCACUCUUGUCAGAAGUCUUCUCACUAUUAAUAUAUUUAAGUUCAUGACUAAUAGAAUCUCCUGAAGUCUAACAGUUCUGAGACCCAAAAGGUCUCAGAAGAAUUGGACACAGCUACAAGAUACUGCCUGGAUUGUGGUGUGAUAACCACUGAGAAACGCAAUGGACAAAACUGGAUACCCUGAGUCAAAUGACUUAUAUUGCCUAUAUCAAGGGUACUGAAAAUUGAAAUCAGAUCACCAUGCUCAAAAGUAAGUACUGUUUCCUGUUGAGUCAUCUGGUCCACCCUUUUCCUCCCCAUCUUGGGUCUUGAUUUUCUACAGUUAGGCAGCACCUCAUCUACUGAGAAGUUUUCUUGGAUCUCUCUGAUUCUGACAUUUCUUCUUCAGGCUCUUUGAUUGUACUAUUCUUGGAGAAAGUAUUGCAAUUGGACUGUGGCCAUUGAUUUACAUGUCUGUCUCCCUCACUAGAAUUGAAGUUCAGGAAAGAAUACAGCCUAGUUGGACUUGUUAUAUUAUUAUUUAUCUUUGUCCCUGUUGCGAAAAUACAUAAUAAAAACAAUUUAAGAAGAUGGUUUAUUUUGGCUCAGUUUGAGAGUAUAAUCCAUCAUGGUAGGUAGGGGAAUCAUGGUGGCAGAAGAGUAAGGCAGCUGAUCACAUUCAUCCACAGUG